rnacentral:lncRNA from 1 species
UGGCAACGCCAGAUCUUUGACCCACUGAGCAAGGCCAGGGAUUGAACCUGCAACCUCAUGGUUCCUAGUCAGAUUCAUUAAUCACUGCACCAUGACGGGAACUCCCACAGCCACAGUCUUAAUAAAUUUUUUUUAAUUUGGGCCCUUUAAUGUUUAGCCUACACAAAGAAUAUAAGUAUGGCUUUCAUGGUAUUUUUUUAAAUCUUUGCCUAAAGAACAUUAUUUUUUUUUUCCAUUUAAUUUAAAUGCCAAAUACUUAAUUACUUUUCAUAUAAAUAUUUUCUCUCCUAUAGCAUUUAGUUCUUUCAUGUUCAUUUAAGUCUGUUCAAAGGUUAAUUCCUUCUUUGCUGGUUGCUCAAUGGUGACAUGUAAUAAAUGGUGAAUUACAUCUAUAAUUAUUACCAUCAGGAGAAAUGAUUACAUUUAUCAAAUCUCAUGUAGCAAUAGUUUUUAACUUUUUCUAAAGAUUCACUAUGAAAUUCAUAAUAAAUCUCUUGAUAACUUUUCAGGUAACGUUUGCUAUGUAUCACUAUCAUGCAGUAAAUGUAAGUAAUUUAUAAAAUCAUCUAAAAUAGCUUCAAAAUGUGGACAAAAAGAAAUUCACAUCAUUCAAAGAUCCUUUCUAUAGACUUAUUUUUUUUUAAAUCUCAGGAACUUUAAAAAUACAUUAAUUACAGACUAAUCAUUAAUUCCCACUAUUAAGUCUAUCAAUAAAUCCUAAAAUCCAGCUUUAAAUGACUGUAAAGAUAAGGUUAUCCUAUAGCCCACAAAUGUUAUGUGACACAUGUUUGCAAGGUAGUUUUUUACUGGGAAACAAAGCCAAGAUAAAACAAUACAUACUCUGCCUCCAUUUCCCUAUCCUAUUUUGGGAGUAUCUGCUUGGCCACAUACAAAUAACUACCACUUGAUAUUCAUGCCUAAUAAAAUUUUACAUGAAAAAAUCCUUUGCUUUUGAGACUUUUGCUUAAAAAUCUAAAUGUGGUAAAUUGUGGUAGAUUAUCACAUGAAUGCCCCUUUCUCACACUGGUUAUGUGUUUAGCCUUGUGACUAUUUUAGUUGAUUAGGCAUCAGCACACAUUGAUGCAAGCAGAAUCUUGGCAAGUGCUUAUACUUCAUACCUUGUCCUCUUAGAAUGCUUCCUCCAUUGUGCGAAGUUGUCUGGGAUAAAAGAGAGGUCUAGUUAUUCCAGUCAUUUCAUCCAUCUCAGCUGACAUCUUGGACAUUUGUGAGAUGAGGUGUCAAAUUGGGCCAUCAAGUCAUAAUUAAGCAUCCAUCUGACUGAAGCUAAGCAAAUGAGUCCAAGCAAAUCCAGUAGAACUGUCCAUUCAUCCCAUAUCAAACAUCUUACAUCCCAGAACUGUAGGAACUAAUAAGUUAUUAGUUUUAAAUCAAAGCUUUAGACUGAUUUUUAUGCUAUGGUAGAUUACUGGUAUAGAAACUCACCUUCAGUAAGCCAAUCCACUUUUUUAUUAGGCCAGUUACUUCUAGAAGAUGCAGUGCAUUGUAAGGCCAGUGAAUUCUGUGGAGGCAAGGCCAUUGUAGCACCCUUUUCACCAUAAGAUGAGUUCCUUGGUUGGAGUUAACAUUGAUGGAAAUCUCUGGGGUUAAGCUGACUUUCUAGUAAACCAUAGGUAUUGGUGUUGGCAGAAAUAUUAUCAGCAAGAAAAGCGUGUUUCCAUGAUGGAAGGGAUCUAACUAUAAUUGACAGAGGACUCAAUCUUCCAGUAUAUUUAAAUGAUUUUUGGGUACAUAAAAUUGAGUCAUAAUUUAAGUAAAAAAAUUUAAUGAAUUAAAUGAGACUCCUAAUUAACAUCGAAAAGGGCAUUAUUCAUGUUGUUCUAUGGAUAAGGUAGCCUGAAAAAAGGGCUAACUUCAUGCCAUCUCUUGUAUAUUACAAAUAAUAUUAGGUCCAGGGUUGUAGCAGUUUCUCCACCAUUCCAAAAACAGUACCAAGAAAUGCAAGUAGAAUAUAUAUUAACACAUAGGACAUGUAAUUGUACUUCUGAAUCUUAGGUUAUGUUUUUGGGAAGAAUGUGCUCAUGAUGAGGGAAUAUUUCAUUAGUAGACUCAUAAAAAAAGUUAUUGCUGAUCAGGCAGAGGUGAAUUUCCAGUGCUUUUACGUUUCUAGAAAUCAAAAAAUGUUCUGGCACAGCAAGAAAAUUCCGAUACAUUUCAGCAUCUCAGUGAAGUUGUCAUUUACUCAUAAUUAACUGGCCUCUAACUACAAAUAGAUGAAGAUAUCAAUACAUUUUUUAAACAUUGUAUAUGAUGAAAUAUGUUCUAGGAAUCACAUAUAUAUUUGGUACAUAUAUUAUUCUACGUCUAUAUAAGCAACCUAUGAACAUAUGGGUUACUUAGAAAUUUGCUCUGUAAUUUUUUUAAGAUGAAUUUGCUAUACUUUAUAUAUUAUCACAAUUUUGUUAUGGAUAGUACUAACCUUCUGUCAUUAAUGUGUGGCUAAAACCUCAUAGAAGGAUCACACAAACCUCUAGCAACUUUCCAUGCCUUGAGUAGCUUUCUAGUUUCUUCACAUAUGAAGUUUUCUCAAGUAUAUCUCCAAGACUCUGCAUUUUGAUAUCAGUUAUUUAUGGGAAUUAACAUGGAGAGAUGGAACAGCAGGUCUGUGUGGGAUGGUUGCAAAUUGAAGUCUAAAAAUGAGUGACGUUGUUGUAAUGAGGUAUAUACAUUUGAGGCAGAGGGUGGUAGAGGCAGAGGGAGAGAGAAGAAUAACAUAAUAUGAUCUGGUUUAUUUUAAAACCUUGGAAGAAAAAUCAAUCACUCGAAUACACGCAGGUAGAAAUCUCUUUAUUUUUAUACAAAUGUCUUUUCAUUCCAGAAAGACUUAAAUAAGACAAGAGAACAUAUAUGUGAAUGAAAAAAAAAACACGAUUUCUCUUUCAUUUUAGUUGUAUAUUCUAAUUUCUAUUAUAGUCAAUUAAUCUGCAUCUUUCUAGAGCUCAGAUAGGUCAGGAGAUGAAGGCAAGGCAAACUGGCAUACUUCAGAAGCAAGGAAGCCCAAGCAGAUAAAUUGUACAUUUCCAUGAACCUGGACAUCUUACUAUGGUAUAUUUGUUACUUAGAGGCAAUUUACAAGAAAAAUUAAGCAUUAAUCAGUUGAAGAAUUACAACCAAAAGGGGGAGAUAUAUAUAUAAAUAGUAUACUGUGGUUACUAUGCUGGGAUUAUCUAAUUCAUUAAAUGCAAUAUAUAAAAGAGGACAAAUCCUCUGUUUAUUUAGCUAAUAACACUAAACUCUCAAGUGGGUGAGCAAUAAACUUGCCAGGUUGAUUACCUAGUGUUGUAUGUGUAAUCACUGCGCUAAUGUGAGCACGCUUGCUGGCUUGGAUUGGGGUUCUCUUUUGCUUUGAGAAC